ensembl:lncRNA
GGCGAGGUGAGGCAUGGCAGGUGAGGCGGGGUGAGGAGAGUUGAGGGGAAUCAAGGCGGGGCGAGGCAGGGCGAGGUGGAGCGAGGAGAGGCGGGGUGGGGCGUGGUGAGACGAAGCAAGGUGAAACAGGGCGAGGCGAGGCAUGGCAAGCGGGGCGAGGCAGGGCGAGGCGGGGCAAGGAGAGGCGGUGCGGGAGAGGCGAGGCGAUGUGAGGCGAGGUGAGGCGAGUUGAGGCAAGGUGGGAUGAGGCGUGGUGAGGCGAUUCAAAGGCUAGGCGAGACAAGGCGAGGCAAGGCGAUGCAAAAGUGUGGCAAAGGAAGGCGAGGCGAGGCUGGGUGAGGCGGGAUGGGUCAAGGUGAGGCGAGGCGAGGCAGGACAAGGAGGGGAGAUGCAAAGGCCAGGCGAGGCGAGGCGGGACAGGGCGAUAUGGGGCGGGGCGGGGCAGGACAAGGCGAGGCGAGGCGAUGCAAGGCGAGGCGGUGCAAGAUGAGGUGCCUCGC